rnacentral:rRNA from 1 species
UGGGGAAUAUUGGACAAUGGGGGAAACCCUGAUCCAGCAAUGCCGCGUGAGUGAAGAAGGCCUUAGGGUUGUAAAGCUCUUUCGCCCGCGAAGAUAAUGACGGUAGCGGAGAAGAAGCCCCGGCUAACUCCGUGCCAGCAGCCGCGGUAAUACGGAGGGUGCAAGCGUUAUCCGGAUUUACUGGGUUUAAAGGGUGCGUAGGCGGAUGAAUAAGUCAGUGGUGAAAUCUCCGAGCUUAACUCGGAAACUGCCGUUGAUACUAUUUGUCUUGAAUAUUGUGGAGGUAAGCGGAAUAUGUCAUGUAGCGGUGAAAUGCUUAGAUAUGACAUAGAACACCAAUUGCGAAGGCAGCUUGCUACACAAUCAUUGACGCUGAGGCACGAAAGCGUGGGGAUCAAACA